UUUGUCUCGCAAGACUAAAUACUGUAGAACAUUUGUUGGACACCUUACAUUACUUCCUGAAUUGCACAUUUUGAAUCCUGAAUAUGGUGACCAACAUGUUGCUGCUAGUCCUCUUUGUUUCAGAUUUUCUCCCACAUCUUGUUGAAGGUUCUUGUGAGCACCUUCGCAU